AUUGAACGCUGGCGGCAGGCCUAACACAUGCAAGUCGAGCGGAGCGGCGGACGGGUGAGUAAUGCCUAGGAAUCUGCCUGGUAGUGGGGGAUAACGUCCGGAAACGGGCGCUAAUACCGCAUACUAUCAGAUGAGCCUAGGUCGGAUUAGCUAGUUGGUGGGGUAAAGGCCUACCAAGGCGACGAUCCGUAACUGGUCUGAGGGGAUGAUCAGUCAAAAUGGGACGGGGGAACGGGCCCGAAUCCUACGGGGGGGAGAAGUGGGGAAUAUUGGGCAAAGGGGGGAAGCCUGGUCCAACCAUGGCGGGUGGGUGAAGGAGGUUUUCGGAUUGGUAAGGACUUUAAGUUGGGAGGCGUUACCAACAGAAUAAGCACCGGCUAACUUCGUGCCAGCAGCCGCGGUAAUUC
rnacentral:rRNA from 1 species